AAGUAAUUGCUCUUUCCCGUCCCUGAAUGACAUUUUGGCUAAAUUUUCUGUAACUGCUGUUGUUCCUCUGGUUAUUAAAUUGUGUAAAAUGCCCACCCCUUCCUCUCUCCCUUCCUCUCUUCUCCCUCCCUCUGUAAACAGCUGUCUCAUUCACCGCCAGUCAAAACACCCUGGGACAUCCUGGGGCCCAGAGUAUCCUGCAAGGCUCAUGUGUGACCUCCUGGGAAGCAGGUGGCUAUUGAGCUUGGCAGUCUCUCCCCAGGAUGCGGCAGAGGGGCUCACCUUGGUGCGCCAAGAAGAGCAGCUGAGCUGUGCUGAGUUGGGUCUGUCUCCAUCCAGUAUUUGUGGUAACCACAGGCUUCGGGAUAGUCUGCUUCUACCUGGGCACAGCUGUGGAAACUUCCUCGGGCCUUAGAUUUUGCAUCGUUAGGGAUCCGCACCCAGGCAGGCCCAGUCCUUGACACUAUCUGAUCCAGAGAGCUGCCUUGUGGGGAUGCAGACCUUCUACAAACAGGCACACUAUGCACCAGGCACCCAGCACAGUCACCCUGGCGCUCCACUCUCAAAAACAAAAGAAGGAUGGAGACCCACUGGACACAUAAAAAAGACCAGAAAUACGAGAAAGAAGUAGGAGAACAACCAACCUCAUAGGGAAAAUAAAUAUUUCAGAAAGCAGAAGAUAAUUCCUCAAAAUAUUAACCAGUGUCUUCAGAGGAAUGAAGGUCUGAGGCCUAUAAUGAAAAGGAAAUAAAUAAAUAAAUAAAUAAAUAAAUAAUUGCUGUCAAAAAGGAA
rnacentral:lncRNA from 1 species